UACGGAGGGUGCAAGCGUUAUCCGGAUUCACUGGGUUUAAAGGGUGCGUAGGUGGGCAGGUAAGUCAGUGGUGAAAUCUCCGGGCUUAACCCGGAAACUGCCAUUGAUACUAUCUGUCUUGAAUAUCGUGGAGGUGAGCGGAAUAUGUCAUGUAGCGGUGAAAUGCUUAGAUAUGACAUAGAACACCAAUUGCGAAGGCAGCUCACUACGCGAAUAUUGACACUGAGGCACGAAAGCGUGGGGAUCAAACAGG
rnacentral:rRNA from 1 species